rnacentral:rRNA from 1 species
GAUGAACGCUAGCGGCAGGCUUAAUACAUGCAAGUCAAGGGGGUAGCAAUACAACCGGCGCACGGGUGAGUAACGCGUACACAACAUACCAUAUACUGGAGUAUAGCUUUGGGAAACUGAAGGUAAUCCUCCAUAACAUUGCGAGAGGGCAUCUGAUUGCAAUUAAAGUUCCGACGGUAUAUGAUUGGUGUGCGUUUGAUUAGCUAGUUGGUAGGGUAACGGCCUACCAAGGCGACGAUCAAUAGCUGGCGUGAGAGCGCGACCAGCCACACUGGAACUGAGACACGGUCCAGACUCCUACGGGAGGCAGCAGUAGGGAAUAUUGGACAAUGGGCGAAAGCCUGAUCCAGCCAUGCCGCGUGAUAGAUGAAGGCCCUCUGGGUUGUAAAUAUCUUUUAUCUGGGAAGAAACUCCUCUAUUCUUAGAGGCCUGACGGUACCAGAGGAAUAAGCACCGGCUAACUCCGUGCCAGCAGCCG